rnacentral:tRNA from 1 species
GCCGUGGUGGUGCAGUGGUCAGCACACCCGAUUCGGUAACCUAAGUCCCUACGUUCGUUUACCUAAGUUCCUAAUACUCUCGCUCUCGAGGAUCGGGAGGUCGUUGGUUCGAAUCCAGCCCAUGGUG